rnacentral:lncRNA from 1 species
CGGAGAAAAAAAAUUAAAGCCUCAUUUUUAUCUGUAUAUUUUCUUCUUUUUAUAGCUUAAGAAACAUUCUUUUUUAGUGAAUUAUGAGAAGUUAAAGAUAUUUGCCCUUUUGAUCUUAUGUUCGAUGGAACAUACAUUGUACAGAAUCUUCACAGGCAGACUGAACUUCAUGACACAGACUCAUUUCUCAUUAUUGUAGACUGUCGAUGCUUUCUUGUGUUCACAUGUUGAUCAACUUUUUGCCCUUAGAAUAGCAACGAAACUUCUGUCUUUUUAUUGUUGUGAAUAUUUCUGGCCAGUUUCAAAAUGAUUACCCCAUCCUAAUUGACUUGCAUUUUAUAGAGGAUCACUGCCUGACGUGACAGUGUAGUGUCUUGCAUAUCACUCACCCACUUACUCAGAUUAUCUGUUUAGACAAACGAUUUUCUGUUCUUCAGUUGUUUUUAGAUGUUUAAUUAUAUUGUGCAUUGCUUUAUUAUCAUAGCAAAGAAAUUGCACCUAUAUAUUCAUAUAGGAAUAGCUCCAAGCUUGUUCGAUGAAGACAUUGGGGGCUUUGCAAUUACAUAAUUCAUUUUUGUCUUCUCCUUAAAAAUGUAAGAAGAUUUGGGUGGGCGAUCUGCCUGUGACCAAUGAGUUACUUCUUUGAACAAAAGAAAACAGACUAUGUUAUGAAGUUACAUUUCUGAAAUAAACCUUCAAUAUUCCUCCUUUUUCUGUCCUUCCAUCUUGUGCUGUGUUUCACAUUUUCCCUUGACAUCCUAUUAUUACUUGGCUUUUGCUGUCUUUUUUUUAACAAUAGAUUUGCUUUUUAUCCUUUUGUUAUGUAUACCUAGGCAUAAUACGCACAUGAUUAUUAUGACAGCUGUUUCAAAUCAACAAAUACAUCUUGUUUAGUCAACGGGUGACUGAAUACAAUCGAUAAGUGUUCCCCAUGUAUUACUAGCUGUUUUUUCUAAUGUUAUUGAAUGUUUUGCUCGAGUAAUUGUUAUGUAGUCAAUGAUAACAUCAACUGCUAGAUCUAUACCUAAGUUAGGUAAAAGUUUUCCCAAUGCUUGCUUUAAGAUUCUCCCCCAUCAUGUGUCCUGAGCUAGUGCUCAACCUUUGAAAUGACCAGCCUCUUUCUAGUUAAAACACUAACAAAGACAAGAUGAAUAAACAACAAAAAGAUUGAAUGAUCCUUUCUGCUUGAUGUCCAUGAAAGUGCACACACACAUGCGACAUGUUCAUGUUUGUCAUGUGUUUUUAUUACUGAGAGAAAAAAAAGUGUUUCCUUUUUCUGAGCUAGUUACUUUUUUUUUUUUCCAUUAUAUAGUAUGUCUUAACAUUGAAGUAUGAUGUUCAGAUAAGCAUUUUAUUGUUCUAAUGUUUCCAUUAUACUGUUUUAAUGUAGAUUUGAGGCAUCACCUUCCUGUUAUUUGAGAAGUAAAGAUUGUAAAAAAGAAAAGAAGAGACAGCUUUCUUCCCACUUUGAGGAAGUUAAUUGUAUAAUCGAUUGCACAAAGAUAUAUAUACAGAUGGUAAAAGUCCUUUUGUUCUUUCAUAUGAAACUACACAUCGACAAAUUUUCAGCUUAAACUUACCAUGACUCUUUCUAGCACCCUGUUCUUGGUCCAGUGUUAAAUGUAUCGGACUCAAUAACCACCCAUCUAAUAGCUUUUCUCAUUUUACAUUACUUCACAUUUUCAUUUGAGAUCCACCCUUGCCAAAUUGUAUUUGUUAUAUUGUUUAUGUCCUAACCGUGGGGAUUAUUGCGGAUAAUGAAUUUUCUGUGUUCCGUGUCUCUUAGGCAGAUUUCAAAAAUACUUUGCGAUUUCUUUUUAAAUACAUGAUGUAUUCUUGUGCAGAUGCUAUUAGUACUUUGUGAGAUUUUUUAAAUUAAGCAUAUCUUUACAAUGUGGUCUACCAUAGAAGUUUGACAGCUUCUUUGAAUCAUUUUGAUGUAUAAAUAUACUUUAAAUAUAGGAAAUGGCUACAAGUAGCUGUGUUUCUAAAUGUCAUGUGAAAAUCUUCCAUAUCAGAAGCAGGAUGGAAAGGGGUGGCUAGCCAAGAACUAUAAAAAGUGUUUAAAUAGGAAGUUCUCCUGUGAAAGACUGAGAAAAUAUGUUGACAUUCCAAGAACUUUUAUGAGUGUUCUAAGUGUUUGUGACAUUUGUAGAAUGUAUAGUGUAAAAAAAAAAUCAUCUCUGCUUGAAAGAUCAGUCUUGAAAUUGUUAUAGAAGAGGGAAGUUGUAAAAAGGAAUCCUUUUCAGUAUGUUGUUUACUUUAUUUUCUCUCUUGAUUUAAAAAAAAAAAAAGGCUGGUUGCUGUCACAGGGGAGAUGUUUGAUCAGGGAAUCCGUAUUUGACAAAAGAAUGCAACUAUUUUACAUCACCUUUUGUCAGUGCAAUAUUAUCCUGUGCCGUGUGAUUUGUGGUCACAUUCUUUGUAUGCCUUUAGAAACAGGGAUACAAAUUAUGUGUGGAUUGAAAGUGAAGCAGAUGGAUUGCACAGAAUGGGUCAUGGUGCAAAAGAUUGUUGUGUUGUAGGAAGUAAGAUUGAUUUGAACACUGUUUUGCUCGUUGCACCCCAGCAAUAUACAGACUGUUACUUCUGAUUGAUCAUCGUGCCAUUGUUUUUUUUUAGAGACUGGAGUGUGAUAAUACUUCAUAGUGAAUUCCAGUGUUGGUUAAAAAAUUACAGUGAGGUUCUUCAUGUACAAGAAAGUGUCCAUGUCUUAGAUUUAUCCAUUUACCAAUAAAGCCGGCACCGGCUAGUGGUGUGAUGGUCCUGUCUAAAUCACUUUGAUGUGGUCUUAUAGAACCUGUACAUAUGUUUUAAAGUGUCCUAUGAUUACAGCUUCUUUAGUCUUGUUAACUGAUAAUAAAAAAAUUUUUUUAAGGGGGAUAGUGGUAUGAGUUUUUAUAUGUUCCUUUAUUAAAUCCACUUUUUCAAGUUACAGGGUUUGUGCUUGUGCCAGUCAGUAUUUUUUGUGGGCCAGACAUAUUUUGUAGAAUGUGGUUUAAACCUGACAGAAGAAGGCGAUUAAAACAAUUUUUAUGAUAGCAUUGGGAAAAGCUGUGAUAUACAUAUAUAUAUAUAUUUUCAAGUUGUUGUGACGACAUCAUGUCUUUAUAAAAUUUAUACUUUUUCUUUGAUUAAAGUAAUUUUUUUUUUCUAGAAGCAUUAACGUUUUGGUCAAUUCCAUGUUAUGAGUUUGUUCUAUAUAGUUGGUAGAGUGAUAUUGCCUUUUCCUGCCCUGAGUCAAAGGGACGCUUCAGCACUUGUUUGUUUAGUUUGUUUUUGUUCUCAACUGAACACAAUUGUAUUUUGUGGAGAGCUUUUGUCCGUUUUGCUGAGUAAACUGAAAAGACAGAGGUGUUAAUUUGUACACUUGAAAGACUGGUAGAUUGUUUGGAUAAUUAUAUUAUGGAAAAUCAUUUUUUUCUAUCAAUUUACUGUUGUCAUAUUUGGCUGUUGCCAAUUCCAUAAUUUUGGCAAAGUGAAAACCUGUUGAUAUGCUGUGAGUAUAGCCUCAGACCCACUUGGUACUGGCAUUUUCGACAGCGCAUAUUAUUGGUUUCCCGAUCUGAAGGAGGGGUAAGCUUGAGUGUUUCACGUAAAGUGCUCACUGAAGGUCAACACACAUGCUCAAAACUAGCCAAUCUAAGCCGUUCAAAGUCGUUUUAGAUUAUUACUUUUGCUUACUGGUGACAUCACCAUUGUGGAAAAUGGAUCCCAUUGUAUAUUUAAUGCAAAUUAUAUUGAAAUUUUGAUCAGUUAUGAUUAUCAAAUGCUGACUAAAAAAACAAAAUUGCAUGUGCAAUACGAGGAUGAUUAUGGUUGUUCAUGAACUGUCUAGUAAUAAAAUGUGAGAGGUUAUCUGUUAACCUAGAAGUCCUCUACUCUUUCCAUGACUUUCACCUUGCUGAUUUAGGCUACUAAAGUUUUUUUAAAAAUGUCAUUUUGAAUAUUAUAUGUUCUUUCGGAUGAGUGCCAUAUAAAGGAAACGGUCAGUAACGAAGUUGUCCCUGUCACGAGUAACAUUGUCAUCUAAUAUUUUUAUGUUCUUCCCUCUUUCAUUUCUUUCUUUGUCUUGCAUAUUUUUUUCACAGCUCUCGUACGUUGACAUGUUAGUCAUGGUCUGUUCAUCAAAAUAAUGAAUUGGUGAGGAAUGGUUGAACAAUGUGUCGAACAAAAUUUUGGUUGUUUUGUUUCAGUUGUGUUUCUGUGAGAUGUUGGCCCUGCUUUGCUCUUUUCUUUCCAAGCCCAAAUAUAGAUUUCCAUUGUAUCAAGGCAGAAGUUUUAAGUGUGUAGAAAAUUAAGGGACAGAUGUUUUUGGUUGCAUAAUGGAAGAAAAGCUCACCACUAAGGGUGAGGGAUCCUCCAGCAUUAUAUCUCUUGAUAAUGCCUCAUCUUUGUAUGCUCAUUGCUGGUAUUGGGCUGAUCACAUUGAAGGUUGCUGCAGAGAUGGGAACUUUUGCUCUUUCACUUUCUGAUCUGUGUUAUUUUAUCUAAUUUUUUGUUUGUUUCUAGAGAAAGCUCAAUAACUUAUUCUUUGUGGAGUUUAUGAGAAUCUCUAUGUGUGUUAAUAUAAAUGUAUUUAUUUUCAUUGUAUUGUACAUUAUCACACACACUCUUGUCUGACACUUAUACAAUAUUGUAUAAAAGAUCUUGUAAAUGGUAUUGAUUUUUGUUUGUGAGCUAUCAGGUCUCUCAUGGGAUGAUACGUCAUAAGAAAAUGUUAAGAGACCGCAGAAAAAAGCCUUGAGUUAUGUCAUAUGAGCAACGGAGAAGCUCUUCUGACUGCUUUGGGUGUGCUAUUUUUAUCAUGUUGUGUCAUUGUCUUAUCAGGUCAAUUUUUUUUCUUUCCUGUCUUAUGGCAGAACCCCCCACCCCCCAGCACAUUACAAUUACAGGGAAUAAACUUUCAAUGUGAAUUGUUGAUGUUCAAUCUGGUGUGGCCUCCUGCUUAUCAUUUUCUUCAUUAUCUCUAUUCCUCUUAAUCUGUGUGUGGUGAAAUCCUUCUGACUGGUUAACUGAUCCUUGUGCUCCACUUAGUCUCACUUUACUAAUCAUAAAGGAAUGUUUUAUUGUAUGUCAUAGGAGAUUAUGAAUUCUAAAAAUCUUUAAUGAGUGUGCUUUCCUCACUUUUUGACUCCCAGCAGUUGGGUGGGUGUAGAAUUGUGAAUUACAAUGGAAAUCCUAUGUAAGUUUAAAGCUCACAAAAUAGAAACUCCUUUGGCUGACACUUCUUUUGUUGUAAGUGUCAUGCCGUCACAUUUGUUAAUGAGCAUGUGGUGAAUGGUAAGUCAAGGCUGGGAGUUUCACAUCCUGAAAGGAAGAGUGUAUUUGUCGCUGUCACAAGAAAAAGGAGUAACUCACCCUGUGGAGCAAAGUCAAAAAGAGCUACUACUUGUUUUUCUUGCGAUAUCGAAAAUGGGUUAAGAAGAUAUGUUGUAUUCUAGGAACAAUGUUUCCCUACUGCUAUUUGGCAGCCUAAAACUACAGAUUCUGUUUUCAUCACAAAUUUUCUUUCUUUCUUUUCUUUUCUUUUCUUUUUAUUCUUUUCUUUUCUUUCUCUUCCUUUUGUUUUUAUUUUUGUUUUUGUUUUGUUUUGUUUAGAUAGAUCUAUAUUUAUUCUUGAUGCUUGGUAAGGAGCUUUAACAAUAUUCCUGUUGUUUGUGACUCAUUUGCUGUACACACUGCCUUCACACUAUGUUGUGAUUUCCCUCGGUAUUCUGUUCAUUUGCUCAGUAUGUUUUUGCUUUUGUCAUAUUUAAUUUUAGUCGUGUUAUCACAAGAUAUGUGUACCAUGCAAAUGUACUGUCCUUUUUUCAGUUGAAAACAAUAUAUGCGAGAUGAAUAAAGAUUGUCAUUGUCGUUGUCAUAUUAGUCCAAGCUAGAUUGUGUACAAUUGCUACUGGGAGUACAUGUAAAUGAAUAAAUAUGUAACGUUAUGACUUAAUUGCUAACAGCUGAUAUGAAUGAGUGAAUCCCAACAGCUGAUGUGUGUACUAAUGUAAAAAGGAAAUGUUGAGCAAUCUUAAAUCUUUGUACCUUGACACUUUGCCGAUUAAUCAGAUUUUGCGGGUUUUAAAAAAAGUUACUCAUGUGCUUUUCUAGGAAUAGGCAUAGAAUAUUCUGAUCCACAUAUAUGUACGGACAUGUCAAAUUAUAAUGUAGAUCUAGUUAGACUUUUCAGUUUAAUUGAAACAGUGUACAUAUAGACUUGACUUAUGAUAGUGUUUGUGGUGUUUAUUUGAGUGCUGUUGGACUGAUAAUGAUAUUUGAUUAUAAAAUGUUAACAAAAGAAAAAUGAACAAAAAGAGGGAUGUUAUCCCUUUUUAUGAACAAAAUGAAUGUCUGUAAAAGGCACCUCAAUCUACGGAGUAAGUUAGUUUUGUUAAAAGUAGCGAGACGUAUUCUAAUGUUAUUGCUGUUGUUUGAUCUGCUAUAGUGCAUGUUGUCUCGGGGAUAGAAAUGAUUGGCAUAUUGUUUGAUGUAUCCAUUAACAAUACUGGAACAGUAUAAUUGGGGUGGGGGGGGGGGGGUAUUGCUUAAAACUUAUGGAUAACUUCGCUCAUCAGAGCUUACUUCUGAAAAGAAAUCAAAUGCCUGUCAUCUAUCCGUGCAAGGUAACAGGCAGGAUUUCUGAAUUAUUCUUUCAUAGUGUGCAGUGCCCGUGAUGCUUCUAAAAAGACAUGUGCUUGACAUGACAUUGUCAAUAUAUCUAUGACAUAGGACAUUGUCAGUAUAGUGACAACUUAGGUGCCUUGAUGUCAUUUGAAAUUCUGUUUAAACAGUUUAUUUCAGUAUUGGAUAUUGAAUAUAAUCACUAUCAGGGUAUAAAUGUUAACUUUGAAGUGUCAGGUUUUGUGCAUCACCUUUAUGAUGUCUUUAGCAGGCUUCUCACUUUUUCUGUUUAUGUAGACUAUUCUAUCUCAGGUUUGGGUUGUUUGAGUUUGAAAGGGAGUACCUUUCCUAAGCUUUGAUUUUGAAAUGACUGCUCUGGGAAUGAAGUUAUUUCAAAUGACAGCUCUUUAGGUUUUGCCUCGGUGUAUAAAUAUAAAACUCAAGGCUGAAUUUUGUCUUGAAUAUCCUUUUGUUUUGGUGUUAAAUGGCAUUCGCAACUACAUAAGGUCAGGUGAGUGCGGGGGACACGUUAAAUGUUUUCAGUGUGGUAGGAAGUUUGAAUUUUGCACAGGUGGCGGUUGAAGCCUACUCAGACUACUCUUAACGAUUUUAGGACCACCACGGGAUCUUAACGUUUGCAUCAUUUUUCAUCCUUAUCCUUUAAGGUUAGGUCAGGGGUGAAAGACGGCAGAAAGAAGGAGCUAGGAGUAGCAGUAGAAAGAUUCAGGAGCCCAGAGGACGGGGGAAGGAGGGGAGGCAGAAAGUGGAGAUACAAUGAAAGCAGAUGCCAGAAUAUGAUUAGAGGAGGGGGCGAAAGGAGAAAUUAUAAAGAACAUUUUUCGGUGCUGUCAGGUUUCAAACCCAGGACCUAUUGAAUGAAAGACAAACACCGUACUUCUAGACCACGAGAGCCCUCUAGGUAUCCUUUGUCAAAAGCUCAUAUGACUAUUGUUAUAAGGUCGUGAUAGUCUACAACAUUUUCUGUUUGACACACCUGGCCAGUGCGGCACUUUUUGUGCUUGUUAACCCUAUCCGUACGUCUUGUUUUACUAUCGUAUUCAUAUGACGUGGGGAAUUCUGUGCCUCCACUUUCCAAAGAGGAAAUUUACUCGUUAAUCCUAUCUGUAUUCUUUGCAUAGCAGUCUGUCAAAAUGAAUUUUUGAGAAAUACUGAAAGUUUCAAAGAGAAUGUUCUCACUAGAAGUAUUCUAAAAUGUGAAGAAUACAACCCUGGGGGUACAAAAUGACCCCAGGGCGUACGGAUAGGGUUAAGCCCUCUGCUUUGUGAGUUGGAAUUUGCUAAUAAGAAUGCUUUGGUUUAUGUACACAGCUUGAACUUGGGUUUAGUUUUUAUUUUUGUUGUCUUGCUUUUCAUCUUUCAUUUGCAGUAUUUCAUGGUUGUGCGAAUCUAUUGUGAUGGGUUUAGUGAUUACUUUUUAAUGAAUAACUUGUACUUUGUACUUGUAUGUCUCCCAUAGAACAUAACAAACUUCUCCCCAGGCGGUGUAUCACAUACAGUGUUUUAACAUUCCUGCAUGUGGCUUGCACCUCACUACAUUUCCCAUUCCAGAAUUGUCGAAUAAUAAAGGCUUUGCAGGUCUCUUGCCUAUGUAUGAUUUCCUUCCCUGCUUAUUAAAAAAAAAGUUUGAUUGCCACGUUUAUAUAGUAGAAUGGUGAUGCGCAGAAAAUAAAAGAUUUUGAAACAGGUUUUUGGUUUUUGUCUAGGUUUCUGUUUGUGAUUGUGAUAUAAUGCAUUGUCUGUACACAAUAAAAGUUAAAUACAUGCAAUAAAAUGAUUCUUUUUAAAGCGAU